AUGUUAAAUUCAUAGUUGUUUUCAUUGUACUUUUCAUUUAUACUGAAUCUAGUGAUAUGUCAUAAAUAUUUGUGAUGUUGUGGAAGGAUAUUUACAUCAGAUAGCGUUCAAGUGUAGUUGGCGCGAAAGAAUAAGCGUUUAUGUUGUUACGGCGAUAGGAUAAAUCAGAAAGCGAUUUGUGACGACAGUGUACGUUAGGGGUACUAUGUUCGUUCUUCCAAGUCAAGUUCGACAAGGAGGCAUGGAAUUUCAUUUGACGUACUACCAUGUAUGAGUGAUGCCGAGUGAGGUCUCCAGAGGGUGAUUGGUGGAUGUACCCUUGUUUUCUCUUGGCCUAUAGUAGGGGGUUUGUUUUCCCUGUUUUGCAUGAUCUACCGGCUGUCAAUAAAUGGCUGACCCACCCCUACUUCUUGUCUAUGGUUCUAUGGUUUUCCUGACUGAGUACCCAACCCCCAACCCAUACUACCACCCAAGCCCAGUUUACUACAAUGGUGUCAGAA